CCUUGAGAAAUAUUUUCUUUGAAUCUUUUGUAAGAAUACCAAGUAUCUUUUUAAAAGAUGGAAGAUCCUACUAGAUCUAUGAGGUGGAGGAGGUACUACAUAUACUAGCUUAUCUUAAAUAGGUUGUACAGGUCCUAUGAUUCAUUGUUCUUUAGAGACUCUCUUUUUAAGUUCACCCUUCCACUGUUUUCAAAGAAAAUAGUAUGAUUGCUCACAAUCACAUUGUGAAUCACUGGAAA
rnacentral:lncRNA from 1 species